rnacentral:rRNA from 1 species
AGUAAUGUCUGGGAAACUGCCUGAUGGAGGGGGAUAACUACUGGAAACGGUAGCUAAUACCGCAUAACGUCGCAAGACCAAAGUGGGGGACCUUCGGGCCCCAUGCCAUCAGAUGUGCCCAGAUGGGAUUAGCUAGUAGGUGGGGUAAUGGCUCACCUAGGCGACGAUCCCUAGCUGGUCUGAGAGGAUGACCAGCCACACUGGAACUGAGACACGGUCCAG